rnacentral:rRNA from 1 species
AUGGUUGUUCUCGUGGUAGCGACGGCGUCCGACCCGGCGUCCAUCGGCCCCGCCGCCGCGUUCCUGGCUAUGCCUGGCUGGUCCCCCGGCCCGCCCAUCCCGGAGGGGAUGGAGAGCUUUACAAAUGGGAAUGUUAGGUUAUUGAAGCAUGAACGCAGCAUUGUUGCAGAGGAUGAUCUUGACCGUCGGUGGCAGGAAGCCACUGGAGAGGCUGUUUCCGAGGUCAUAUUCCUCAGCAAACACACUGCAGUCUCCAACCGCCCUGCACUCACUGUCCAUCCAAUCGGUGUGCCACAUCUGAGGGAGGAUGAGACCCCCCCUCAAGGUGGGAGGCCUGGAUGGGCAGCGGUGCCAAACCCUCGAAUUGGCCCAUGGUUCCGGUUGAUGCAAAAGGUUGCUGCAGACCAAGGUCUUGUUCCAGAGUUUGAGAUUACACUUGAAGCUACUCACCAUGGACCACUUACCAGUACACCCACGAUGUUUGUUGAGAUAGGAAGUACACAAGAAUACUGGGGUAGACAAGAUGCUGCGCAGGCCAUUGCUCUAGUUCUAUGGAAAGGUCUUGGUCUUGAGGAAGGAAAUGCUGUUGGAACUUGGCUGGGGAGUGGUGAAAAGGUUCUACUAGGUAUCGGUGGUGGUCACUACGCCCCUCGUCAUACGGAUAUUGUCAUCAAAGAUGGUGUCUGGGUGGGUCAUCUCCUGUCUGGUUACUCUUUGCCAAUGGACGCUCCGCCUCAAGUAAAUGGAAAGAGUUCUGGUGAGGUUGGUGGGAUGUGGAAGCAUUCCAUCAAAGUUUCGUAUGAAGCCACGAAGGCAGGAUUUCCUGGUGGUAAAGUUAUAGCACAUCUUGAUCAGAAGAGCUUCAAGGGCUGGCAAAAGAACGCCAUCACGAGCUAUUUGCAGGAGCAAAAUAUCAGGAUAGGAAAACCCAACGAUUUCCUCUGCACAAAAACUUGGCCGUGCCCACAAGGCAAGCCGUCGAAGUGA